GAUGAACGCUGGCUACAGGCUUAACACAUGCAAGUCGAGGGGAAACGACGGGGAAGCUUGCUUCCCCGGGCGUCGACCGGCGCACGGGUGAGUAACGCGUAUCCAACCUGCCUCUGACUGAGGUAUAACCCGUCGAAAGUCGGCCUAAUACCGCAUGGCAUCUGCUUCGGGCAUCCAACGACGAUUAAACAUUUCAUCGGUCAGAGAUGGGGAUGCGUCUGAUUAGCUUGUUGGCGGGGUAACGGCCCACCAAGGCGACGAUCAGUAGGGGUUCUGAGAGGAAGGUCCCCCACAUUGGAACUGAGACACGGUCCAAACUCCUACGGGAGGCAGCAGUGAGGAAGAUUGAUCAAUGGGAGAGAGCCUGAACCAGCCAAGUCGCGUGCAGGAUGACGGCCCUAUGGGUUGUAAACUGCUUUUAUGCGGGGAUAAAGUGAGGGACGUGUCCUUCAUUGCAGGUACCGCAUGAAUAAGGACCGGCUAAUUCCGUG
rnacentral:rRNA from 1 species